rnacentral:rRNA from 1 species
UGGGGAAUCUUGGACAAUGGGCGCAAGCCUGAUCCAGCCAUGCCGCGUGAGCGAUGAAGGCCUUAGGGUUGUAAAGCUCUUUCACCGGUGAAGAUAAUGACGGUAGCCGGAGAAGAAGCCCCGGCUAACUCCGUGCCAGCAGCCGCGGUAAUACGGAGGGGGUUAGCGUUGUUCGGAAUUACUGGGCGUAAAGCGCACGUAGGCGGACCAGAAAGUUGGGGGUGAAAUCCCGGGGGCUCAACCCCGGAACUGCCUCCAAAACUAUUGGUCUAGAGUUCGAGAGAGGUGAGUGGAAUUCCAAGUGUAGAGGUGAAAUUCGUAGAUAUUCGGAGGAACACCAGUGGCGAAGGCGGCUCACUGGCUCGAUACUGACGCUGAGGUGCGAAAGCGUGGGGAGCAAA